GUAGGUGAACCUGCGGAAGGAUCAUUAAAAGGUAUCUGCCCUCCUGGCCGUAAAAAAGCCAGAGAGAGGUAGUCCCAGAUCAACCCACUGUGCGCACAUAUUGAAGUUUUCUUUGCUUUUGGUAGGCGUCGUUCAAAGAAUUUUUAUUUACUCUUUGAACGAUUCUGCCAUAAGUAAUGCCCAUUAUCAAUAUAAGCCUUAUUUUUGUGACUGAAAUUUUUUUUUUAAAUAAAAAUACAACUUUCAACAACGGAUCUCUUGGCUCUC
rnacentral:misc_RNA from 1 species